CCUCUCUCUCUCUCUGAAAGAAGAUUGAGCUUCACCCCAGACUGCAGCUUCCUUCCUCUGUUUAACAUCUGUGAGGACGGCACUCUUUUUUUUCUCACCCCCAUUUCCAUUCCUUUUCUCUUCCUUGGGUUCAGCUGUUGGUUUGUAGGAGCUGAGGGAAAAAGAAAGUCAAUUGAGGGGAAGGGACAGACUCUGGAAAAGGGUUAUCUCUGGAAGUGUUUGGACGCCCACCAACUUAAGAAAACCAGGGGGUGUGAAAAGUUGUGACAGCAGCAGAACGACCCUGAUGCAGCCCCCAUUCAGCAGUGUCAGAUUCAUUAAAAGGUAUGGAUCUCGGGCGAUACCUCCCUUGGAAUGGAUGGGAAUAUGGGCACAAACCCAGCAGCUAGAGCGAUUGUCCUUUUCUGCAUAAAGUAAAUACUGAUGGUAAUAAUGUUUUGAAGAACGGCCUCUCCCCACUGCGACUGAGCUGAUGAAUCUCCAGUGCCCACAGGGAAUGGAAUCCCUUCCCUCAUUCCCCACAUUUCCACGACUUCUCCGCAGUCCUGGUGUCCUUUUGGCUCUGUGUUUCCGAUGAACAAUUGAAACUGGGAUCACACUCGGGAAACGUGUACAGUCACCCCGCUGCUGCGAAUAUUGUAAUGAUUCUUUAGUUUGUGGAACUGGUUAUGGCUCCUUCCCACAGUCAGCUCACUGGGGCACACUCUCUCUCAACAAGAGGAAAAAACAUAUAAAAGUUGAGCAACGAGACAAAAUGCAAAAGCAAUAAAAUGUCGAACCACAUGGCGAAAAU